GCCGAAAGGUUUAUUUCAGAAAAUAUUCAUCAUACAUACAUACAAAUAAUCUCCCUUUUCUCUACCAAAUUGCCAAACUGAGCUGGAGUCGCCGCCGUUCUGAACACUGAAGUGCAUGCCCUCUCUGCUCUAAUCGCUAAUGGCGGCCAUUUCUUCAAUCGCCUCCGCUCCUUUCCGUUCCCAGCUUCUCCCUUCCUCCAUUUCCACUUCUUCUCCUUCCACCGCUUUCUUAUUCUCCAAACCUACUUCUCCUUCCAUCCUCUC
rnacentral:lncRNA from 1 species